ACACGUGGAUAAUCUUCCUUAAAGUGGGGAAUAACCUAUCGAAAGAUGGGCUAAUACCGCAUAAGACCACAACAUCUUUGGAUGAAGGGGUUAAAGGCUUCGGUCGCUUUAAGAUGAGUCUGCGUCCGAUUAGCUAGUUGGUAGGGUAAUGGCCUACCAAGGCGACGAUCGGUAACUGGUCUGAGAGGAUGACCAGUCACACUGGGACUGAGACACGGCCCAGACUCCUACGGGAGGCAGCAGUAGGGAAUAUUGCACAAUGGAGGAAACUCUGAUGCAGCGACGCCGCGUGAGUGAUGAAGGCCUUCGGGUUGUAAAGCUCUGUUCUCAGGGAAUAAUAAAUUGAAUGUACCUGAGGAGAAAGGACCGGCUAACUUCGUGCCAGCAGCCGCGGUAAGACGGGGGGUCCAAGCGUUGUUCGGAAUUAUUGGGCGUAAAGCGGGUGUAGGUGGCUUUGUAAGUCAGAAGUGAAAGCCCUGGGCUUAACCCAGGAAGUGCUUUUGAUACUGCGAAGCUUGAGUGUGGGAGAGGAUAGUAGAAUUCCUAGUGUAGUGGUGAAAUACGUAGAUAUUAGGAGGAAUACCGGUGGCGAAGGCGGCUAUCUGGCCCAACACUGACACUCAGACCCGAAAGCGUGGGGAUCAAACAGGAUUAGAUACCCUGGUAGUCCACGCCUUAAACGAUGGAUACUUGGUGUUGGAGGUAUUGACCCCUUCAGUGCCGAAGCUAACGCGUUAAGUAUCCCGCCUGGGGAGUACGGUCGCAAGAUUAAAACUCAAAGAAAUUGACGGGGGCCCG
rnacentral:rRNA from 1 species